CCGGCGACCGGCGCACGGGUGAGUAACACGUAUGCGACCUGCCCCCCGCAGGGGGAUAACCGGGAGAAAUCCCGACUAAUACCGCGUAACGCCGCGGACCUGCAUGGGUCUGCGGCCAAAGGAAGCGAUUCCGGCGGGGGAUGGGCAUGCGGCGCAUUAGCUAGUCGGCGGGGUAACGGCCCACCGAGGCGACGAUGCGUAGGGGUUCUGAGAGGAAGGCCCCCCACACUGGAACUGAGACACGGUCCAGACUCCUACGGAAGGCAGCAG
rnacentral:rRNA from 1 species